GAUAGUUUUAUUUCUACAAAUCCUUUUUUCAAAAAUGUCAAAGUCUCAUCAUGAAGAAUAUCUGACAUCAGCUGUAAAGCUGGGAGCUCAUCCUUGAAUAGGUCUAAUCCUUUCUGGUGCUCUGCCAAGUCAGUCUUUUUCAGUUACAUGGAGAGAGCAGUACCACCCAUUUUGUGUGAUCGAAAACUUCAAACAGCAGUUUGAACAACUGUAGUGGCCAAGGGAAAUGGAGAGGGGAAGGAAGCUGACUUGUGCACCUUCAUCUGCUCCCCCGUUACUAACACGGCAGAGGCAGUUCUUACAGGCUGCCAUAAGGAAACACUAUAUAUUUUCCCUCAUCACAAAACUAAGGAAUACAUUUCUCUCCAACUGAUAAGAGACAAGCAUCUUCAUGUUAAGCAUUCUUCUAAGAACAGUGUUAGACCGGGAUCUCCAAUCACCCAUUCUCCAAUCUAUUCCAAAGGAACCCAUUUGUCGUGAAUUGCAUCAUAAUAAACUCAUUUUUCCUGUCCUUUCUCAGGCCUUUGUAAAUGAAAUUCUCAUUGUUCCCUUUUUUGAGUAACCAUAUUUUAGACAUCAAUUUUAAUAUUUUUUAAAACUCUGUCAUCACUUAGCUCAGGUAAGAGAAAAGAAAGUGUGAAAUGGAUUGUCAGAUUCAUCUGACCUAGUAACCCUGGGAAUGCUUAUGUGCUAAAAGCUUUGAAAUAUUUUAUACCCUUCCAAAAAAAAAAACCCUCACAAACUGUAACCUUGGACUCUUAAGUCCAUUUUUUGUGGUCAUGGAUACAAGUAAAUGAAAACCCAAUAGGUUUUCCUUGUCUGCUACUCUUCCAUUCAUGUUGUAAGUGAAAUUCAGGCCUCACUGAGACAGUAGAUGAUUUGUCAUUGAUUCAAUAAGAUCACAAAAUCUUUGGAUUUUUUGCAGCUUCAAUGGCUGUUUUCUUAGUUACCUGGUUAUGGUGGGAAAUUCAUAUUAAGUCCACAUGUGUAUUAAAAUGUGAGUUUUCUUACAAUUAAAUUUGGACCAACCUUCUUAUUCAAUUAUUCACUAUUUGUUUGUGGGUUUACAUAAUCAAGUACUCGGAUGUCUUAUGAACUCUGUUGACAUUGACACAGGAUUUCCAAAAAUUGAAAAAAUUGAAACUUGCCACCAUCCCCAGCAAAUACCAGAUAUUUUAAUUUUAAAAGCUUUGUUGCUGUUGUUGUAUCAGAUUUUUAACUGAACACUUUAUUUUUAGCUAUUGUACUUUAAGGGCCAAGUUACUGAUAUCUCAGUAGACUUUACAGCUCUAAGUAAGGAAAUAGUGUCAUCCCUAUUUCCCAGGGAUAUAAAACCUUCCCACUCUAACCUCCCAUAUUUUCAGGCCAUUCCAUUCCAUUUAGUGACUCCCAGACUGACCAGAACAACUCAUGGUCUGAAAAGAAAACUCGGAAUUUAUUCAGUUGUGUUUCAAAAGUAACAAAAAUGAUGAACUGAAGCAGAAACAAUGAGCUGUCAAUAGGGAAGAUUAUAGUGGACCUGAAUACUGAGCUUGGUUCUCCUGGGUCUCAAACUAACCAUGCUAACCACUUACCCUCCAUUCCACUCUACCCAAGGCAGCUUCCAACAGAAGAAGAGAGAAACUGCUCUGAGAUUUUAAACAAUGUUAGAGCUCAUGAAGUGUUACUGGCUAAAUGCCACCUUGGCAAUGUUAGAACUUUGCAAAAGAAUUAUUCAAGCUGAACUCCUGUUAAAACUCACCUAAAUACAAGUGGUCUAAUUAAGACACUGGUCAAGGGCUUUUGCCAUGGAUUGUUUAUGAGAUGAUAAACUAGAGGCAAUCAUAGGUGCAGGUUCCUGGUGAUUAUGAAAAACAGGUCAUUUGUAGAAUUUCUACACAGGGGUUCUGUCUUUGGACAUCUGACUUAGCAAAUACAACCUUGUGUCCCUAUUCCUUCACAAAAUGUGUAGGAAGAGUAGGCUUCCAUCUAGCCUUAUGCCAAGACAAAAUUCUGCCAUGCACCAAGAUGCUCCAUUCCUGGAAAAAUUCUUCUGCAGGGGGGAUGUAGGGAUGUAAUCCCAAACACCCAUCUACUCUCUAAGCAAUAACAAUGCAGGAGCAUCAUGUGUGGGAGUUAGCAAUCCACAUUAGAUUGCCAAAACUACUGCAUUUUUGCUUGGUGAUCCUCAAAGAGCACAGCAUUUGGUGGAUAUCUGAGAGGACAUGAGAAGCUUGUUCAUGGCUUAGCCUCUGUCUUUGUAGAUCAAAGAGCAAACUUGUUUGGCUUACUCUGAAACACACACAAUCUAAAAAGUAACAUUUUCUAAGGAAAUUAAAAGGACUAAGUAUUUGUAUCAGAAAACUAUAUCAGUCUUGACCUUUAUAUUCUGUCAGGAGAAUGUCUUCAUCAGGCUAAAAUAUUCUCUGCAUCCAGUUGAGGAAUGUGGCUGGGCAAUGGGGAACUCUGCAGGAGUAAAAGAGAGUGAGUUUUUCCUUUUUCCUUCAUAUACCAGUUCAUAUUAUCUGUUUCCAUACUUUCUCCAGAGCAGCAGGAUACUCAGCUGUUCACAGCUAUGUAUAGGGCUGCCCUGUCCCGUUUGCUGCUGUCUGUGAAGUUUGAUUUGUGUUUAUUCACAAUAAAUGGUACGGUAUAGUGUAUGCUGUAUAUAAAAUAAUCCAGCAGCUUUGUGGCAGAGGGAAAAAUACCACAGCUGGUGAGGUGGAACAAGAGAAAGGGAGGGGAAGAUGCAAUGAAACUGGCCCUUCCUCAAAUACAGCUGUGCUUGCUUACUUGGAGGAGGCAUUGGGUUUGCAGGAUGGGGCGAGCAGAAGGGAGUUAGCGCAGUCCCAGAGAUGCUUGAGAGGAGCAGGGUACAGAAACAAUGUUAACCUCAAGGGUGUUAAAAACAGGAAGCUUCUUAGGGAACUCAGAGGAGCCCCUACAAAGCGAACCUUUGGAAGUUGCUGGACUGGAAAUUGAGACUGGGAGAAAAUACUUGUCCUGCAAAUUCACUGGGAAUUUUGUUUUCAAAUCCUCCUCCAGCUGGCCUCUUAGACAGUUAACAGUCUGUAGCUUAUUAGCCUGUGUUAUGCCAAGGCUGGGAGCCUUCUAAUGUAUUGACAGGUAUUGACCAGCUCACAGAUGCUGUUGAUGGGGUUCUGACAUAUUCUUUUUUCCUAAUGUGGAUGAAAAAACUCUUUCUGUAUUUCCAGCUCUUGCUAUAUGACAAUAUCUAUGGAAAGAGUUUUGUUGUUUGCACUUAGAAGUGCAUCACAAAAUUUAAGGACUAUCUCUUUGUUUGUUUUUUUGCUUGCUUGUUUUGUGUUUUGAAACAAAUAAAGCCUUGCAAAGCCCUACUGUAGACCACACUGGAACUUCAGAUAUUUGCUACUUGCUCUUAUUUUUCCAUUUAUUUUUAUAUCCCUUUUGUGGCUGGACACCAGGUGCCCACCAAAGCUGCUCUACCACUCCACUCCUCAGCUAGACAAGGGAGAGAAAAUAGAACAAAAGGCUCAUGGGUUGGAAUAAGGACAGGGAGAGAUCACUCACCAGUUACCAUCAUGGGCAAAACAGACUCAACUUGAGGAUAUUAGUUUAACUUAUUGCCCAUAAAAGCAAUGUAGAGCAAUGAGAAAUAAAGCCAAAUCUUAAAAACAUCUUCCCCCGUACUUCCCUUUUUCCUGGGCUUAACUUUUUUCUCACCCCACCCCAGUGGCACAGGGGCAAAUAGAAUGGGGGCUGUGGUCAGUUCAUCACGUGUCUGUCGCUUCUUCCUCCUCAGGGGGAGACUCCUUGCACUCUUUCUCUACUCCAGUUUGGGAUCCCUCCCACAGGAGACAGUCCUCCAUGAACUUCUCCAUGGGCUGCAGUUCAUCACAAACUGAUCCAGCGUGGGUCCCUGCCAGGAGCUGUGUGGGUGCAGUCCUUCAGGAACAGACUGCUCCAGGAUGGGUCUCCUGCAGGGUCACAAGUCCAGAGAACCUGCUCUAGUGUGGGCUCCUCUCUCCACAGGUCCAUGGGUCCUGCCAGGAGUCUGAUCCAGCACAGGCUUCCCACAGGCUCACAGCCAGAAGGCAUCCACCUGCUCUGGUGUGUGUUCCUCCAUGGGCCGCGGGUGGAUCUCUGCUCCAUCAUGGACCUCCAUGGGCUGCAGGGGAGCAGCCUGACUCACCAGGGUCUGCACCAAGAGUUGCAAGGGAAUCUCUGCUCUGGCACCUGGACCACAUCCUCCCUCUCCUUCUUCACUGACCUGGGUGGCUGCAGAGCUCUUCCUCUCACAUGUUCUCACUCCUCUAUCUGGCUGGAAUUCUGCAGGGUUUUUUCACCCUUCUUAAAUACCAUAUCCCACAAGCUCUACCACUGUCACUGAUGGUCUUGGCCUUGGCUAGUGGCAGUUCUUUCUUGGAGCCAGCUGCUGUUGGCCCUGGCACACAUGGAGGAAGCUCCUGGAAGCUUCUCACAGAAGCCACCUCUGUAGCCCCCUACUGAUAAUACCUGGCCAUCCAAACCCAUUAAAGCCUUGUAACUCUCCGGACAAAAAUUCUUUUAUAGGUAAAGGCAAAUUUCUGGAUUUCUGCUGCAUUGGGACCAAAUCACUUGAAUUUCAUUUUGUGAACAAACGCAGUUUCACAGCUCAUUGCUCAGACAAUGCACAGCAGAGAGGACACAAAACAAAGGGAAAAAAUGUAGCCCGUAGUAAAACUAGUGGUAGCUAACCAGAAAAAGGUUUUCAUUCCAAGUAGGAAUGGUAAUUUCCCUCAUAUAAAGCCCUCAAGUGGUGCAGAGAAGAUGUUGCCACUUCAACCUGGCAAAUAGAUACAUGGGCUUUUUUUCCUCCUUAAGCCAUCCAUAAUAGAUACAGGUUUGUAAACCUUUGUCCUGUAAUCUUUGCAAGUAAACAAAUGCAAGACAAAUUAAAACAGGUGAGACUACCUAGACUCACUUCAGCAGACUGAGGCUUUCCCCGAAAGAGUUAUACGUCAGCUGAAUAAGGUAAUCCAAAAACAGGGUGAGGUGAUCUGCAUUUAUCUACAUUCAGGAAAUAACUGCACAAAAUGAACCUAAUUCUUCUCACAUUUGCACAGUUUUCAGAUGAAUUCCAGUAUGAUUUCUCUUUAGAGCAUCCUGAAUGAGAAUCAAAUGCAUGGUUUCACACAGCAGCAAGGAAUCCGAAUAAGCUGGUCUGCCUUUCAGCAGUGGUGAAAAUGGGCAUAUUAUUUUGGAACAGCCUAUGCAGCUGCUAUAUAUAUAUAUUUUUUUUUUUUUUUAAUAUAUAUAUAUAUAUAUAUUAUUAUAUGUCCACAUGGCUUCAGUCAGAAUACAGGCAAGUAUUACGACAGGCAGUGCUUGUGAGAGCUGUCAGUUGUACCAGGUGUACAAGCCCUUCUCCCACUCCCCCACCAGGCCAGGGGUUACACAGGAUGCCUGUGCAGGUCCAUCCUGUCCUUCUCUUAGCUCCUGCUCAUAGGAGGUGGGAUCCAAAGGAGCUUCUCUCAGGGAUGACAGCAGCACUCCAAUGCAGCAGCUUAGGGUCUUGAGGAAGUCAUCAGCUCUCCAUGGAUGUCUGCCAGAACUGAGAGUGACUCCUGGGAUGUUCACAGCUGCACAAAGUCCAGCUCCAUAGAGAACACCGAAAGCGAGUGCCUUAAAAGUAUCUUUGUGGAGAUGCUUUUCAGUUAGUCUUUUGGGUAGAAAUGCUUCUGAAAUACUGCACAGGCUUUUUUUGCAAAAAAUGUUCAACAUAUUCACCUCAUUGCCUGCGGGAACUGCUCUUUAGUAUCUAAGAGCUGUUCAUGAGUGGAUCUGUGGCUCUGUGCCUAUCUCCUCCUGUGAGCAUUUGUAUCUUUUCUCAUCUGUUAACAGCUUGGUUAAUUUUCCAAGGAGAUUAGAAGCAAGGCCUUAAGAAUGACAAAUGCUACUGAAAAUAAAAGGGGAGAAUUAAGAAGAAAGGCCCUGCAGACAAUAUCUAUUUUGCUGGGAUUUGGUUCUGCUGAGGAAUACUUUCUAGUGGAUACAAAUAAUAAGUCAUUACCUUUCCCAGAUGAUAGGAAUGCAUAAUAGCUGCACUCUUCUGAGUCUCUUCUGAGUAUCGUUUCUUUACUUUUUUCCAAAUGAGUUCCUUGUAAAAAUGUCACACUGCAGUGCUGCUCAAAGGCUACUUAAUAUUCUUCUUUUCUUAAAAGAGCUGUGUAUUUCCUGAAAUCUGAGGUUUCUCUAAUCAGCUCUGAAAACGGCCCUUCUUCCACAUUGUUCUUCUUACCAAAUUAGAAGGAAACACACAAAAAUCCCCCUAAUCUGUGUAUUCUUCAUUUGGGAAAAUGAUAAGCUUUGGGAGCAACAUUUUAAUUGUUGAGAUUCUUCUGUUGACUAAAAUAUUACUAAAGAUAAAGGAUUUGGUCUAGUCGUGUUUUUAGAAGUACUUACAAACCUGAGCAUUUUACAAAAUCUGACUCACUUUGUUCAAGCUUAGAAGGCACCAGGCAUGUCAUUAUGAAGUUCUUGCUCAUGAUAUGGAACAUUAUCAGGUUUGAACUGGUUUUAGUGGCAUUUUUCAAACAACAAAAUAGAAUCUGUAAGAAAAUAGAAUGUGUAGUUCAGUGGAAAAUACAAUAUUUCACAGUGUUUUACUCCAAACAGGGAUAAAAAUGUAAAAUCAGAAUUGUAUUUAUGCAGAAGUAGCAUGAUUUCUUAAUAUUGGAACACUUACUGUUUUAUAUAAGAACAUUAGAAAAUACUGAUGUUAAAAAUAUCACAUUAAAAUGGACAUUUUAGGGUUCAAAUCUACAGUGAUUCAAAAUGAUAGUUGAACUGAGCAUUUUGUCCCAUAAAUAUGAGCCAUUUUUCUUCACUUAUACUUAACUAAAUUUAAUACAUUUAAAUUGUCUGUUAAAAAUGGUGAAAUACGUUUUACUAGCACUUAAAAAUUAAUAUAACUAUUGUCAGAAGAUGUUUUACCGAAAAAUAUUAUGAUCAAUUUUAAAGUAAAAUAAUCCUAGAAAUACCUGCUCAGGCGCAAGUUUUUAUAUAUAUUUUGAACCUGUAAAACUGCAAUAGGGCACAAUUUUGCAUGUGUACAAUUUAAAAUGGUGUGAACAUACCUCUUCAUUUCCAAAGGUGCAGGAAAGGACAAUAACUGUAUUUAACAUUGCUUAUGGAGCCACAUAAGCACUGCUGAGUGUGUUGAACUAAUUUUAACUGAUUUUUUUCAAAAAGUCGAGUUAUUUUCCUUCCCUCCACAAGUAUAUCUGUCUUCUAGAGCUCUGGAAGGCACAACACUCCAGCUGCAUUACAUACGUCCUACAAAAGCCCUCAAAAGCACCAAGCACAGGAGCUGUGAUGUAGAGAUACAUCCCAUGAUAGUUUGUUGGAGCGAAGCACAAAAAACAGGAUAGAGAAGAACGUACAGGAGGAUCAUGAAUCUUUGCAGAUUCUGCUAUUCUCCAGUACUAAAUGCAGAAAAAGCAACGCCUACAAAGUUUGCUUGAGCUAUAAAAUAAACAGCAAACAGAUUCACUACUACUCCUGAAAAUUGUGAUGAAAUUCCCUUCAUGGAUACUAACAAAAAGUUCCAUGUUCCCUCCCCAGAAAAAUGAGUGAGGAUUGUAUCAAUAGUCUUAAAUAUUAACAACAACACAGUUGAGACAAAUUAUAAAUUCCAUUUUAAUAUUUUAAUUAUUUUAACUAAUAUAUCUUUAAGUAUUUGUUAAUUUUCUUUCAAGUAUGGAGGUUAUAAUAAUAAAAAUUUUACAAAUAUUUUUCCUUAAUUGUUAUAUUUAUGUUUAUGAACAGGUGAUAUUCUACAUGUGCCAUAAUUUCAAGAGUUACUUGGUUCCUACCAGAACAGCUCCAUUCAGAUAGGUAUGAAAAGCAAGAUAGAAAGCAAGACCUCUGUGGUUUAUUUCAGUCUUUACACGUUCUAGACAUCGAAUUUCUUGUAAGUUUAAGGGGAAAGGAUGAUGGAAAUUGCAAAGAUCAUAAGGAUGUUUGGUCUGUCUGAAUGAAAAUGUCACAAUUCCCAAAAGACAAGAAAUCUUAAGCUUAUAAAGAAUUCACCCACAGUGAAAGAGAUGAAUACUUAAAAGACUCAUCAGCACCUCUUCUGUGAUGUGCUCUAGCCUUAAAAUGAACUUUGGGUUGGCAGAGCUGCAGAAAAAUUGUGUAAUUGCUACAGAGGAGCAGCAGUGAGUGGGUUAGUAGAAGGGGGAAUAGGCAGCAAGCAGGGAAAAGCAGAGGCAUUUAUACAUAUUAUAUUUAUUACAUAUAUCUAAGAUAACCUAAUUCCACCCAGUACCUGCCACAAAGCACUGUGGGGGAUCUGUGGGCACCCUCAGGGCUUGAAACUGCUAUUUCUCUUUCAUUUGAGUUCUUUUCCAGUCCGCUGUUUCUUCGAUUUCUGAUACACAGCACUUAACCCUGUGCAGCAAUGGGAACCUGAGUUUUAAUGAGUGACAAAUGGGUCCUAAAAUUUUAUUAAGUUUGUCACUUCAGGGAGGGGUGUACAUACAUUUCCACAUUAAAGCACGUAUCAGAAACACCAGGAGUUGAAGCGUAGCGCAUACGACCAAAGAAGGAACUAAAUGGAUAGACAUCUCUAGACUUCUUUUUCUUUAAGCAGCAGACCAGACCAUAUCAGCUUCUCUUGUUGCCUGUUGUAAGCACUUCCAAACCAUAUUGGCAGCAUAAAGCACUCCAGUAUUAUUUUGAAUAGAUUCCGCACCUCUUUAAACUUUGGAUCUAGUCAAAAGAAUAAUUCUACAAUAACAGUGCUGCAUUUCUUCCACCCUCUGCUCAUCUCCAGAGCCAGACUAUUUGUUGCAUGAUGCUCUGUAGCUCAGUCUGCUAUCAGCAAUGUAGAAGCAUUACAGCAAUCAGAUGUAAUCUGCUUUAUCACCAGCAAAGAUGUUGCCAGAAAAAUUUCAGAUUACCACAGUUUUUAUACUAACUCAGUAAAAUUGCACAUGGUAUUUAAAGCAUGUCUUGACUUUCUGUUCUGGAGUUGUAUUUUCAAGCACAAAAUUUGUGUGGCUUAGUUAGCAAAUUUUUUUUAAUUGAGCAAGUGCAUACUUUGCACAAAUUAUGAAGGUAGAAUAUGAAACAUGAAGGUAGCUAAAAAUUACAUUUUUAGUAAGGAAAUUUUGCAUGUUUAGCCAAAAGCCAAACUUUUAAGCUGAUUUUCAUUGCAUGAUGAAUUCGUAAAAAAUUUGCUGUGGCCAAAGCGAAAAUUCUGAUCAUUUAGCCUUAUGGCUGAAAUGUCUACUGACCUCUCCUGUGCCAAAGCAACCCCUCUUACUGUGUUCCCACGACUCCCUCUGGUGGCAAACCUCUCAUUCAAGCUGCAGGACAGCCUCUUCCCUUGGUUUUCUCCCUCAUGUUUCAGAUGGAUUAAGAGGCAUGCUGGUGGAUUCUCAUCAGCUGCUCAUCAGCAGCUCAUUCAGGCAGUGGAAGUCCCAUUAAAGUUUUUUGUUUGCGUUGUAGGAAACUUUUUCUUAAUUUCAGUAAGAGCUACCUGUUCAACCUAAUAAAGAAACUACCAUUAAAUAUGCAUAAUAUUGAAAAGACUGUAUAAAAAUGCUAAUUUGAAUAAAUAAUUUGUAAAAAAAUAAUUAAUAUUUCUGGUUUACAUAAUUCCCUUUCACGUAGCCCACCACUAUAUAUACACCUCGGAAAUGGUCCUGGUUUCUCUCAGGCCAGGCUGCUGAGGCCAAGAGCCUCAUCACAAAUGCAAAGGGACUUGUAGUUCCCAGUUAGGGUCAUGCUAGGAGAACUAAACCUGAGUUUUCUUCUUCAGUGGGGAAAUUCACAGCACUCAGUUAUAUAAAAGAAUCUUAAUACCUAUUAACUCACUUCCAUUUUAAAGGUUUUUCUUUUCCCACCAUUGGAGACAGCACUGCCCACCUGCUGCAGCCCUUGCAGACCAUCCUCCCCUACCUGCUGCAUAGGCACGCGGCAGUGGAGCCUGGCAGUCUGUGUGGGCAAGAAAUCCUAGAAACAUGGUAGAAUUUUGUGGCGGAAGAUCCACCAUAGCCUGACUGGCCAUCCAAACUGAUUUGGUACAAAUUAAGUCACUUUAAUGAUGGCUAAAGUAAUUCGUUAACACUGAAUUGCAAAUUUUUCACUUGUGACUUGUUCUUUCUUGUCCCCAUCUGACCUCAUCAAGCAAUAACAAUGGCUAAAAUAUUAAGAGAAAUUACAGAUUUUAAAGAAAAAGUGAUCAUCCUCAAACUCACAGCUGAAAAGAAGAUGAAAAUACUUCUGUUUACCCUGCUGUCAAAUCAAACGUGUUUAUUGGUUACAUUACAAAGAUCAGUAACCGGGGUUUUUGCAAGCAAGGGCACUGUGUUGGUAAGUCACAUUCCAUACCCUCACCAAGCAUGUAAUUCCUCCUCUCAUCAUGAAUAAAUCAUCUUAGCUGAGUGCAUAAGGAUGAUUACAAAAGCAGCAUUACUGGCCCAAAAGGCAGAAUGGUAAGUGGUAUGUCUGAGAAAUGAGGGGAGAAUGACCUAUGAAGCACUGUAAAGCAGGAUGGUGAUGUACUGGUGAUCAAAACAGAGCAGUCUGCCAUUAAACCAUAGUGUGCAUUACUGGGAGACUAAGGAGCUCUCUUUAUGUCACCUCUGCUAAACAGACUCCUACUAUUUUUAACAUUUUAAUUCAGGUUAUAAUUCAGGUCUCUCUUUCAGACACACGUGUGUCCCUGAUGAUAAAUACAUACACAAUAUAUGUGACAUAGUUUUCCAUUGCCUAAAAUGGAAAUUUUUAUUCAGUGAUUUCUUAUUCCAUGGCUGUUGUUCUUCUGAAGAAAGGUAGUUCCUCUUACGUGAUCUUAGUGAAUUCAUUAUGACUAAGACUCUGGUCUUUAUCCUGUGAGUAUCUAUGCAUGGGGUUUUUAUGCUUGAAUUUUAUUUUUCUAGAUGAAUCAUACGUAUUGCAGCUCCCAUGAAGCAGAGGCAUGCCUGCCCCAGCAAUGUGAAAUCAAAAUAAUGGUGCAAAUGAACCUGAACACAUCAGUCCUGUCCCCAUCUGACAAAAUAGAGUAAACCCUUGCAACACAUUUUGUCCUCUUAGGUUUGUCCUGUAUUAGAACUUCUUAGAAUAAACUUAGGAUGGCCAACUACAAAAAUAAAGAUCAGCACCAGAGACUAUUCCCAGAGCCCAGUACCAUACCAAUGCCAUAACCAUUUAGUUGCAUUUUUCCAUCCUGAGACUUUUUUUCUCUGUCCAAGUGGAUCUUCUUUUUCUAGCUACAGAGUUUCAACUCUAUAGCUGAAGGCAGAGCUAGCUAAACCAGCUGAAAAAAAGAGCACUCUCCUGGUACAGGGACAGUGUGGAUCCAAACACCUAUAAACUCAGGAAUGGGUAGAAAUCAGAAUUUCCUGUUCCUGGGGGAAUGUUCUUUAGAUGGACUAUUCUUAAAUGACACCCUCUGUGAAGACUCUGUUCCUUUCCACAUUACAGCUUAUUAUGAACAGAAACCUUAAUUGUUCAGUAUGCCACCUGUUUGACAGAAGGAAAUGAGGAACAAUUACUGUCUGUGGAUUUCACAUGGAGCCAGGAAAGACAAUGAAAAAUGAAGCAAGUUAUGUUUUAUAAGGGAAAAUGAAAAGCCAUUUAUGAGCACUGGAAUUAAUGGCUCUCCUUGAGAUAUAUAUAUAUUUUUAUUAUUUUAUAUGUUUUUAUGUCUCACAGUUGAAUUAUAUUAGCUUUACCUUCUUUCUGGUACUUCUCAAAUCUCUCGUCACACUUUGAUGAGGUGUGGGGAGCUGGGAGUGGGAAUGGGUACCGACAGACUGAGGAUCUCCUGCUUCUGCAUGUCCAUGUGAGCCAAAGAGAGCCACUCUGCUCAUCCCUCAUCCCAGGGAGGAGAAGGCUUUGUGAGCAAAACAUGUUGUGUGCUGGUCCCUUACAGGAGCUCCUUAAACAUCACUAAACUGGUGGCAUUCCCAGGUGUGGCCAAUUCUGGUUGAACAGGUCAAAAGCUGGUUGUGAGGAGCUGAAGUAAUCACAAAUAUGAAACCGCAAUAAAAAUGCAGAAAUAAAUAAAGAGACUAAAAUUAUAUAUAGUAAUGACAAAUUAAUUACAAAUACAGUUGAGUCGCUGCAAAAUCUGCUGGCUCUUCCACAUCAUCUCUGUCCCUUCUUCCAUUCACUUCAUCUGAUUAAAAUACUCACUUUAUGUCAUGUCUGACAUCAAGUAAGAAGAACUUGGAAAAUCCCACCCAGGACUUCUCAAGACCAGGUGCCUCCAAAGUAUCCAGACUUGCCCUGGAAAAAUUGGGUUUUGAGGUUCUCAAAACCACAAAAAGCUUUUGGUGAAUGACUUCAAGCUGGGAAACCAACGGCUGCCUUUCUCCAAUCUCUCAGAGCAGUGAAUCUAUGGCAAAUAAAUAGUUGCUGUCUAGCAACAUUGAUAUUAA